rnacentral:rRNA from 1 species
GAGUUUGAUCCUGGCUCAGGAUGAACGCUAGCGGCAGGCCUAAUACAUGCAAGUCGAACGGGGCUAAGUAGCAAUACUUAGUUCAGUGGCGCACGGGUGCGUAACGCGUAUGCAACCUACCUUAAACUGGGGGAUAGCCUUCCGAAAGGGAGAUUAAUACCGCAUAAGAUCACACGAGGGCAUCUGAGAGUGAUUAAAGAUUUAUUGGUUUAAGAUGGGCAUGCGUGCCAUUAGCUAGUUGGUAGGGUAACGGCCUACCAAGGCUACGAUGGCUAGGGGUUCUGAGAGGAUGAUCCCCCACACUGGUACUGAGAUACGGACCAGACUCCUACGGGAGGCAGCAGUAGGGAAUAUUGGGCAAUGGACGCAAGUCUGACCCAGCCAUGCCGCGUGCAGGAUGAAGGCCUUCUGGGUUGUAAACUGCUUUUAUCUAGGAAGAAAACGCCCAUGCGUGGGAAACUGACGGUACUAGAUGAAUAAGCACCGGCUAACUCCGUGCCAGCAGCCGCGGUAAUACGGAGGGUGCAAGCGUUGUCCGGAUUUAUUGGGUUUAAAGGGUGCGUAGGCGGUCCUGUAAGUCAGUGGUGAAAGCCUCCAGCUCAACUGGAGAACUGCCAUUGAUACUGCAGGGCUUGAGUACAGACGAGGUUGGCGGAAUUGAUUGUGUAGCGGUGAAAUGCAUAGAUACAAUCAAGAACUCCGAUUGCGUAGGCAGCUAACUAGGCUGUAACUGACGCUGAGGCACGAAAGCGUGGGGAGCGAACAGGAUUAGAUACCCUGGUAGUCCACGCUGUAAACGA